CGACUGGGUAGCUGUGGACACACCUUUUUCCUGCUCACAGCGAAGAAGCGCCCUGGGGCUGGUACGUGAUCACCAAAGGGGAAGUGCAGGAGGCAACUCUUUUGCCAGAGGACUAUGGUCUGACAUGCGGCCCACGGGGUUGAAAUCAAGUUGUGGGCAGUGCAGAGCUGUUCCUGGAGGUUUCAGAGGGACAAUCCAUUCCCUUGCUUUCCCCAGCUUCUAGAAGCUUCCUCAUUCUUUGUGGAUCCUACAGCAUCACUUGCCGCCUCUUUUGACUAUCUAGUCUCCCUCCUACAAGGGCCCUGAUAUUACAAUCAGAGUCCAUGAAGUGAGGCUCUGAGCUUCCAGCAAAUAUACCACCACCAGCAGCAGCUAACCCAAUGGGACCUGCCCAAUCUUGGACUGUGAACCUCCAAAACAAUAGCCAAGGUGCCCAAAGAUGUGUCCGGGUGUAUUUUGCAGUCCUCAGUCAGCCAACCAAGGCACAUGCACUGUGAACCCUGGGGCCUGUCUGCAGCUCCGUCAUUUCUUAGCCACCCAGGGCUGCCACUGCCCCAGCAUCUCAGAUGAGUCAAGGUUCCAGCCCUCUUGCCCAGGGGCGACUGAGAGAUGAUGGCACCUACAUUACACAUUACUGCGAGGAGUACAGGAGAGAAUUCCCACAUUAUCCUCUUAGUUUUGGUGCCAGGCUACCUGAGUGAGUACUCACAGUGAGCUGGCCAUGUGAAACAUGAAAAGGAGACUCCAGAGAAACACGGGCAGGAGAGGAGCCCCCGGUGCUGAGCCCACAAGGGGCCCCCAGCGGGCAGAGCAGUCCCAGGGUUCCUUCAGCCUGGACGGAGUGUCGAUGACAUCACCCUGCAGAAGACAGGUCUGAGCAUGCGCAGACGGAGGCACCCCCCCACCCCCAUCCUCUCCCCUACCAGGCUGGUGGAAUGUGCUUUGGACCCUCCUGCGGCCAUCUUUAAAAGGAAGAUCCAGCCUUGGAGCCCAGCAGUGGGACAAGGGAGCCAGAUGCUUUCGAGAACUGGUACCAGACUUCCCAGAAAGAGGAUGGCUGAAGGCUCACAGACUCUCAAGCACGAACAGCACCAGGCUAUUGGCGAUGGCUGGUGGAAGCUGCGGUUUUAAAGGCCAUAUUCCUUGGGGCGAGGAUGAGCAGCUGAGAGCAAGCCCUCGCCUUGCUCCUUCCAGACUCCAGCCAGGCCACGGAGCCGUCUGCAGACUGAGAGCCUGAAACCUCCGGAAGCUUGCAGAAACCACAGAGCUGGAGAGGAGGACGGAGCCAGGCUCAGUGCUCACGGUGUCCGUGAGUGGUGGGCUCAGGCUGGUGGGGUUCAGGUUCCUGGGCUCCCACUGGACUGUGGCACCUGUGUUCCCAGAUGGAGCACCUACGUUGAACUUCAGUUUUGUGCAACACCCCCUUGCUGAGGUCUUGACCCACGAUGUGCAAGUUUAAAAUGGAAAGCAGUCCCUGCAUCCGCGCUCUGACUAGACCGGUUAAUGGUGGGUUUUCAGCAACACAAUGUGGCUACCAGUUUAGUGUGUCUUAGCCUCACAUCUCCCAAACCUCAGCCACUUCAGUAGCCACCAAGAGGCCCUUGACAGUCUGAGUCCAGUUCUGCCAUCCCUUGGCACAGUCCUGCCUUCCUCUGGCUAGCCAUCCUCACUCUAGUCUAAAUCACUGGGCAAGAGGAGAGCCUUGCCAGCAGGACAAUGCUGGCAGAUGAACAUAAGAGGUUGGAUUUCCUGUGUUGAAAUGAGAGAAGAGACUUUUUUCCCCUUCCAGUUUUUGUUUGUUUGUUUGUUUUUGUUUGUUUUUGUUUGUUUUGUUUUGUUUUUGUUUUUGACGGGCAGAGUGGACAGUGAGAGAGAGAGACAGAGAGAAAGGUCUUCCUUUUCCGUUGGUUCACCCCACCAGUGGCAGCUGCAGCCGGCGCACUGCGGCCGGCGUACCACGCUGAUCCGAAGCCAGGAACCAGGUGCUUCUCCUGGUCUCCCAUGGGGUGCAGGGCCCAAGCACUUGGGCCAUCCUCCACUGCACUCCCUGGCCACAGCAGAGAGCUGGCCUGGAAGAGGAGCAACCGGGACAGAAUCCGGCGCCUAUAUAGGAUGCCAGUGCCGCGGGCAGGGGGUUAACCAAAUGAGCCACGGCAUCGGCCCCCUAUUUAUUUAUUUGAAAGGCAGAGUUACAGAGAGGCGGGGGUGGGGGGAGAGAGAGGUCUUCCAUCCGCUGGUUCACUCCCCAGCUGGUCACAAUGAACAGAGCUGUGCCAAUCUGAAGCCAGGAGCCAGGAGCUUCUUCCGGGUCCCCCACAGGUACAAAGGCCCAAGAACUUGGGCCUUGUUCUGCUGCUUUCCCAGGCCACAGCAGAAAGCUGGAUAGAAAGUGGAGCAGCCAGAACUCGAACUGGCGCCCAUGUGGGAUACUGUCACUGCAGACAGUGGCUUUACCCACUACGCCACAGCGCCGGCCCCUCUAAAUUUCUUUUAGAACCCAGAUAAGCUGCUGGCGGCUUUAUGACACAGCUUUUCUUUCCUGGGGAGCUAGCAGCCAUCUCUUUUUGACAUGCAAACAUCCUGGAAGAGAGUGCCUCUGUAUUCCAAUUUCUGGGGCAGAGCAGGAGCCUAACUUUGGCAGGUACCUGGUUCCAAAUUGAAUGACCUCCUGUCUUCAAGAUACUGCUGGGGACCCCAAUUACCGGGUGAAUUUCGGAUGAACCCAGUGUAACACAUGGUGCUGCCCAGUCCUCUUCCCGGAGGACUGAUUACUGACAUCCCGAGGACACAUCUGGAAUGGUAGCGCCUGCCUGGCUAUAGGAAAGGGUGCUAUUCCCUCCUGCCUCUGCCAUCUCUGUGAGGCACCUGCCAUCCUGCUUUAAGGUUGCUGUAAUGAUACGAUCGUUUUCUUUCUUUGUCGAGAGACUUUCUGGGUUGGCCAAAGAUUUUGUCUGGUUAGGCAUCUCCGUUAGAGCGAAGUAGCCUCACCUCCAGCUUCUCUCCGAAGCCUGGGCUGUCCCCCAGCUUCAGAUCUCAUGGCAUUCAUCUAGCUAGUGCACUCCCACAGCAGCGUUGUGCCUUGGCUGGUACUUGAACUUGACCUCUGUAGCCCCCGAGAGCCUUUGCCUGCCCUCCUACCUUUAGGAGCAGUUCCCCAGCCCUGAGAACUGCAAGCCGCACAGCGUGACCCAGGCUAGCACCUUGGAGGUUCAGUGAGUGCUGAAUGCCUGAUCUCCAGCUAACGCAUAAGUUAACCCGAAGCCAAACAGCGUGGGAAGGGGAGGUGGCAGGGAGCCAGGGCUGGGGACCAGAGACCCUCAUAAGGACAGGGCUGCCUGGCCACCAAGAGGCGUGGCUGUUUCUCUGAUGAGACCUUUUUCUCUCGAUAUGGUUCAUCCAGUCUUCUCUAUGCCAUAUUCACACCUCUUAGAGCCCAAGGGUUAUGGGAGGGGGAGGUAGACCCCCAGCUCCCAGCUGGCUCUAGCAGAUUUGUAGAGUGGUGGUCCCUGCUGGGUUGAACUCUGACCUCUGCAGAAGGCCUCGGGACACGACAUGAAGCCGCAAGCUAACAUGCCUUACACUCCCCAAGCAUCGAGUGGACCCAGCUGAUCCUUUAAAGUGUUAUCUGUAAAGAAUGCAAAUGGACAUGAGGUUGUGUGGUUGGAUUCAACAUUUCACCAACUUCUCAGCCAAUACCGGCAAGGGCAGAUAUACUCUGCCCUUGGCCUCCUCGCCCCAGCUCCUGGUGGAAAUGGCUUGGCCAGGGCCCCCUGAGAGGUGUGCAGGGCACGGGUUGUCUGCAGCUUCUGCGGGUGAGAGAGAAUGGUAUUUCCCAUCACGCACACACGUGCAGGCGCGUGCAAACAUGUACACACUGACCUCUGCUCUCUGCCCUGCUCGGGCUCCUUCUUGGCCUUGGAGAUGGGGCAUUGAGAGGAGACAAGGAGGGUGUUUCCUUCCCACAGAAAGCUGCCGCAGACACCCCCUCCCCAUUGUUCCCAAUCCUCGCAUGCUUGGGACAGGGCCCUCAUUCUCCUUGUCCUCUGCAGGCGCCCCCCUGUGGCUGUCUCUGGCUGCCCCUACACCCCGUCACUCCCCUAACCUGCUCACACCUCAGCCAGCCCAGCUGUAGAAACACCUGGGAUACUUCUUUUGCCUGCUGAGUCCCUGGCAGACACAGGGCUCAGCUGCAGCUCCUGGGCUCCUGACUGCCCGAGCAGACACCUGCUCACAGGAGCGUGGGGAAGCAGCCUCGGCCGUGGGUUAAUCUCAGCUGCUUCACAGUGCCCACCCCCUGUGUGAGUGACACCUCCCCACACAGCACCUCACCCUGCCCCCUCCCUGCAGGGGGCAUAGGCUCAUUCUUUUGGGCUCCUGUGAAAGCUCUUCUAAGUGACUCUUCCCGACGUCCCCAGGGUCCCCGGGGUGGGGACCUUGGAUCUCAGUGGUCAUUGUGGGAGCUUGGAAAGGGAGCAGGCAUUGAGGUAGGGGCUUCGCACAGAUGAUCUCCUUUGGCUCUCUAGCCUCCAUCAAGCUGUGUGUGUGCACUGAGUGCCAUUUUCAAGGUGCGCAAACUGGGGCUCAGGGAGCAUGAGCUGCUGUGGCCUCAGCGCCAGCAUGGCACGGUCUGUCUCCUCCACGCUGACAUCCCAGCGUUCCAAGGCAGUAUGCUCUGCGGUGGCUAUAGUGAGAAGGACUGUUUUCAGGACAGAAGCCAAAAGCCUCGGGUUUGUUUUAGAAGCUGUAGGGUGUUGCAACACAGGAGUUGCCCAACCAUGUUUUGCUUGCAAAGGAGCGAUGCCAGAAUUUCUCCCCCUGAUUGAGAAACUACAUACAGUUUGCUCUAUGCAAAGCAAAAGCCCAUUAUGAAAUGUGGCAAACCAGAGCCCAGGUGGCCACAAUUCCUUCCCAGCUCCAGGGGAGAGGUUGUGGCAGGGGCCCUGGGAAGACUGCCUGAAGCCACACCACUGCAAGGCUGCUGGCCCAGAGGCCCCUAAAUUCCUUCACUCUGAGGUAAGCUCACAGGCCCCACCAGCACACAGAGAUAAAGGCCCAUAGCCUAGGGUUUCCAGAGAAAAUCGGGACUUUCUUUUGGGAAGUUGAAGUUCAAGGUCUGCGUGACCAGGGCAGGAGGCCACGGUUGAGAGACUGUGCUGUCUGAAGUCCUGCUGCUGCUUCCACUGCAUGGUGUCAGGCGGGUUCUCACUUCUUCACCUGCCAUCAGCACUCCCCGGCCAUCAGGACACCAAAGGGCCAGGGUGGUCAGGAGUGGCUGGGAGGAGCUUGCACAACCUCAGUUCUUCAGGGUGCACAACGCCCCCAGUCACAGCACCUGCCUCUAGGAACCGACUUCAAGAAGCACAAGUCCAUCUCCCCUACAACGUCAUCAGCAAGAAACAAGAUGCAUUCAGUCCUUGCACAGAGCGGGAGGGGAAUAGGACGAGUCGGAAGCUCUGGAUGACAUCAGAAAUGAAGUACAGCCUCUCUGGGCCUCGGGUUCCCCGUCUGCCAAAUAAGAGGCAUAGGCGAGAUCACCUCAGAGAUGACCUUGGAGGUGGCAGGCCACUAAAAGCCCUCGCACAGGGCCGGCACAGCGGGUAAAGCCGCCGCCUGCAAUGCCGACAUCCCAGAUGGGCGCCAGUUCGAGUCCUGGCUGCUCCACUUCCAAUCCGGCUCUCUGCUAUGACCUGGGAAAGCAGAAGAAGAUGGCUCAAGUUCUUGGGCCCCUGCACCCAUGUGGGAGACCCAGAAGAAGCCCCUGGCUCCUGGCUUCAGAUUGGCACAGCUCUGGCCAUUGCAGCCAAUUGGAGAGUGAACCAGCGGAUGGAGGACUUCUCUGUCUCUACCUCUCUUUCUCUCUUUCUGCCUCUCCUUCUUUCUCUCUGUGUAACUCUGACUUUCAAAUAAAUAAAUAAAUCUUUAAAAAAAAAAAAAGAA